rnacentral:lncRNA from 1 species
AAAAUAUAAGAAACAGGAUUUGGUUAAGAAAGUUGAAAUUAUGGAGGGCUUUGAUAACCCAUGGGCAGCUGAUGAAAAUGGAAGUCUGAGCAGCUUAAAGAAACCAGAGCACAUGAAUAAUGGGUAAGCAGACUGUUACUAUCACAAAUGUAUUUAAAAGUUGCAUAUAAAAACAGUGGUUCUAGUUUAUUCUGGUACCAUAGGAUUUUUCUUGGAUCUCUCACUGGGCUAUAGGUCCAUAUAACGUAUCCUUAAAAUGAGAAGUUAAAAAUCUUCACACUUGAAGGAAGUUAAUACCUUUUAAUCUUGUAUCAAAGGCAAAUUCCUACUUAUUCUUUAGCAAAUUGUUAAUCCUAAUGCAGAAAUGACCCUUCAGGAUAAAAGAAGCUACUUAAUUCCCCUGGGUAAAAUCCCACUAAUUUUGAGAUCACGCUGCUCUUGGUUGUAGAGAGGCUGGGAUUUUUGUCUCAGCUCAAGGUGCUAUGAAUUCUCUGAACUCUCUUAGGAGAACUGAGAUGAUGUCAUUUGACAACCUGGAAGGCACCAGAGGGGAUGAUCCUGGAAAAAAUGAAAUUCAGGCCUCUGGAAAAAACAAAUACCUGGAGACAGUGCUGCUGGAUUACAAGGGUGAAAGUGAGCAAAAGGGAGCACCUGAAAAAGCUGCUGAAAGUAGAAAUGUGGACGUCCAGCCCACUGUGGGAUUCACAACAAAACAGGAUUCCUUUCCCACAAACACGAACCAGAAGCCAGCCCUGUCCUUAACACCUCAUCCCACAUUGCCUGCCCCCGAAAAAGAACUGAAAGGAGUAAAAUUUUCAGAGGUGGCAGUGAUUUUGGACGCAGACGAUGGAGACGAUGAAUCUGGAGAUGAUGAAUCUGAGGAUGAUGAAUCUGGCGAUGAUGUAUCACUCUGAUAAGAACACUCGAUGAAGAAAAUAUUUACAAAAAACACAAUGAGACUCAUUGGAACAGCUCAGAAUGAGCACUAAGAAUAUGGGAAUGUUAUCCAGAUUUUAAUUCUGCUGCUGUUGUAAGGGUGGAUAAGGCAGAGAACUAGCAAUAUGCGGGAAGGGCUGCAGUGCUGUGCUGCAGGGCUGCUUCCCCAGCAGCAGCAGCGCUGUCUCACGGCGUAUUUCAUUUAUUUCGGCACGUGUCAAACGGGCAAGACAAUAAACCCGAUUCCAGAGGCGUUGCCUUGUCAUUGCUUCAGACGGAGUAAUUUUGGGAACAGCAAUUAUUCUGUUGUUUUGCGCAGAGGCGUCCGCCGCAGUCUUACAAAACGAGAAUCUGUUUUCUAAUUCUCCUGUUUUCGGAUUUUUUUUUGGU